UACAGAGGGUGCGAGCGUUAAUCGGAAUUACUGGGCGUAAAGCGUGCGCAGACGGUUGCGUAAGUCAGAUGUGAAAGCCCCGGGCUCAACCUGGGAAUUGCAUUUGAGACUGCGUAGCUAGGGUGCGGAAGAGGGAAGCGGAAUUUCCGGUGUAGCGGUGAAAUGCGUAGAUAUCGGAAGGAACACCAGUGGCGAAAGCGGCUCACUGG
rnacentral:rRNA from 1 species